GCAGGGCCUCAGGGGAACUUUCCACUGAAAAACGACCUCCAAGCAAGUGCCUUCAAGCAGUGUGUGGCUCUCAACACGCAGGAGGCUGGGAAAGCCAUCUCCCUUGGAAGAAGGAAAGACAUCCACAUUUUCACACUCUGGAAAACUAAAUGACGUGCAAAGGCCGUUGACAGGGCGCUGGUUACAGAAAUGAGAGUGGAGCCAGAAGCGGACUCUGACUGAGACACGGAAGGACUGUAGCCUGCCCGGAUCCUCUGUCCAUGGGGACUCUCCAGCCAAGAACAGGGAG